CCAAAGGCUCUUUUCAGAGCCACCCACAGUUUUCCACGAAAGAGCAU
rfam:Camelus ferus unplaced genomic scaffold scaffold2639, whole genome shotgun sequence.